AUUGAACGCUGGCGGCAUGCCUUACACAUGCAAGUCGAACGGCAGCACGGGUGCUUGCACCUGGUGGCGAGUGGCGAACGGGUGAGUAAUAUAUCGGAACGUACCUUAUUGUGGGGGAUAACGCAGCGAAAGCUGUGCUAAUACCGCAUAAUCCCUAAGGGGGAAAGCGGGGGACCGUAAGGCCUCGCGCAAUUAGAGCGGCCGAUACCUGAUUAGCUAGUUGGUGAGGUAAAGGCUCACCAAGGCAACGAUCAGUAGCUGGUCUGAGAGGACGAUCAGCCACACUGGGACUGAGACACGGCCCAGACUCCUACGGGAGGCAGCAGUGGGGAAUUUUGGACAAUGGGGGCAACCCUGAUCCAGCGAUGCCGCGUGAGUGAAGAAGGCCUUCGGGUUGUAAAGCUCUUUUGUCAGGGAAGAAACAGCAGCUCUAACACAGUUUGCGAAUGACGGUACCCGAAGAAUAAGCACCGGCUAACUACGUGCCAGCAGCCGCGGUAA
rnacentral:rRNA from 1 species